AGAGUUUGAUCCUGGCUCAGGAUGAACGCUAGCGGCAGGCUUAAUACAUGCAAGUCGUGGGCAGCAGGUUUGUAGCAAUACAGAUGCUGGCGACCGGCAAACGGGUGCGGAACACGUACAGAACCUUCCUUUGAGCGGGGAAUAGCCCAGAGAAAUUUGAAUUAAUACCCCAUAGUAUAAUGAAGUGGCAUCACUUUAUUAUUAAAGAUUUAUCACUCGAAGAUGGCUGUGCGGCUGAUUAGGUAGUUGGCGGGGUAAAGGCCCACCAAGCCUGCGAUCGGUAACUGGUGUGAGAGCACGACCAGUCACACGGGCACUGAGACACGGGCCCGACUCCUACGGGAGGCAGCAGUAAGGAAUAUUGGUCAAUGGAGGCAACUCUGAACCAGCCAUGCCGCGUGGAGGAUGAAGGUCCUCUGGAUUGUAAACUUCUUUUAUAUGGGACGAAAAGGGCUUUCUAAGUCGUCUGACGGUACCAUAUGAAUAAGCACCGGCUAACUCCGUG
rnacentral:rRNA from 1 species